rnacentral:rRNA from 1 species
GACGAACGCUGGCGGCGUGCUUAACACAUGCAAGUCGAACGGAAAGGCCCUGCUUUUGUGGGGUGCUCGAGUGGCGAACGGGUGAGUAACACGUGAGUAACCUGCCCUUGACUUUGGGAUAACUUCAGGAAACUGGGGCUAAUACCGGAUAGGAGCUCCUGCUGCAUGGUGGGGGUUGGAAAGUUUCGGCGGUUGGGGAUGGACUCGCGGCUUAUCAGCUUGUUGGUGGGGUAGUGGCUUACCAAGGCUUUGACGGGUAGCCGGCCUGAGAGGGUGACCGGCCACAUUGGGACUGAGCUACGGCCCAGACUCCUACGGGAGGCAGCAGUGGGGAAUAUUGCACAAUGGGCGGAAGCCUGAUGCAGCACCGCCGCGUGCGGGAUGACGGCCUUCGGGUUGUAAACCGCUUUCGCCUGUGACGAAGCGUGAGUGACGGUAAUGGGUAAAGAAGCACCGGCUAACUACGUG